CCCUUCUCAGGAUCACAUCUGGAGGAAUUCCAGUUCUCUACCAGUCUUGGCUACAGGAGGGAGGGUCAAGCAGAAGCAAACCCAUUCCAUUCCUAGCUUGGGCAGCAGCUAGCAAGUGGAAAGCAAUCUGUUACAAGU